AACGGACGCUGGCGGCAGGCCUAACACAUGCAAGUCGAGCGCCCCGCAAGGGGAGCGGCGGACGGGUGAGUAACGCGUGGGAAUAUGCCCUUUGCUACGGAAUAGUCUCGGGAAACUGGGGGUAAUACCGUAUACGCCCUUUGGGGGAAAGAUUUAUCGGCGAAGGAUUAGCCCGCGUUGGAUUAGGUAGUUGGUGGGGUAAUGGCCUACCAAGCCGACGAUCCAUAGCUGGUUUGAGAGGAUGAUCAGCCACACUGGGACUGAGACACGGCCCAGACUCCUACGGGAGGCAGCAGUGGGGAAUCUUAGACAAUGGGGGCAACCCUGAUCUAGCCAUGCCGCGUGAGUGAUGAAGGCCUUAGGGUUGUAAAGCUCUUUCAGCUGGGAAGAUAAUGACGGUACCAGCAGAAGAAGCCCCGGCUAACUCCGUG
rnacentral:rRNA from 1 species